rnacentral:rRNA from 1 species
GUACACUCCUACGGGAGGCAGCAGUGGGGAAUAUUGGACAAUGGGCGCAAGCCUGAUCCAGCCAUGCCGCGUGAGUGAUGAAGGCCCUAGGGUUGUAAAGCUCUUUCACCGGAGAAGAUAAUGACGGUAUCCGGAGAAGAAGCCCCGGCUAACUUCGUGCCAGCAGCCGCGGUAAUACGAAGGGGGCUAGCGUUGUUCGGAAUUACUGGGCGUAAAGCGCACGUAGGCGGAUCGAUCAGUCAGGGGUGAAAUCCCAGGGCUCAACCCUGGAACUGCCUUUGAUACUGUCGAUCUGGAGUAUGGAAGAGGUGAGUGGAAUUCCGAGUGUAGAGGUGAAAUUCGUAGAUAUUCGGAGGAACACCAGUGGCGAAGGCGGCUCACUGGUCCAUUACUGACGCUGAGGUGCGAAAGCGUGGGGAGCAAACAGGAUUAGAAACCCCUGUAGUCCCAUGAU